UACGGAGGGUGCAAGCGUUAAUCGGAAUUACUGGGCGUAAAGCGUGCGCAGGCGGUUUGUUAAGUCUGCUGUGAAAUCCCCGAGCUCAACUUGGGAAUUGCAGUGGAUACUGGCAGGCUGGAGUAUGGUAGAGGAAGGUGGAAUUCCCGGUGUAGCAGUGAAAUGCGUAGAGAUCGGGAGGAACACCAGUGGCGAAGGCGGCCUUCUGGACCAAUACUGACGCUCAUGCACAAAAGACGUGGGGACGCAAACGAG
rnacentral:rRNA from 1 species